AAGCACGCUGGCGGCGUGCUUACACCUGCAGUCAAACGAACCUUCGGGUUAGUGGCGGACGGGUGAGUAACGCGUGAGAAUCUGCCCUCAGGAGGGGGACAACAGUUGGAAACGACUGCUAAUACCCCAUAUGCCGCGAGGUGAAAUGAAUUUCGCCUGAGGAUGAGCUCGCGUCUGAUUAGCUAGUUGGUGUAGGUAAUGGCUCACCAAGGCAUCGAUCAGUAGCUGGUCUGAGAGGAUGAUCAGCCACACUGGGACUGAGACACGGCCCAGACUCCUACGGGAGGCAGCAGUGGGGAAUUUUCCGCAAUGGGCGAAAGCCUGACGGAGCAACGCCGCGUGAGGGAUGAAGGCCUCUGGGCUGUAAACCUCUUUUAUCAAGGAAGAAGAUCUGACGGUACUUGAUGAAUAAGCCACGGCUAAUUCCGUGCCAGCAGCCGCGGUAAUACGGGAGUGGCAAGCGUUAUCCGGAAUUAUUGGGCGUAAAGCGUCCGCAGGCGGCCCUUCAAGUCUGCUGUUAAAAAGUGGAGCUUAACUCCAUCAUGGCAGUCGGAAACUGUUGGGCUUGAGUGUGGUAGGGGCAGACGGAAUUCCCGGUGUACCGGUGAAAUGCCGUACGAUAUCGGGAAGAACACCAGUGGCCGAAGGCGCUC
rnacentral:rRNA from 1 species